GCCGCUCCGGGAGAUGGCAUGCCUCCCGUUCCCGCGACAGGGUCGAGGGAACCAACCGCCCCGCAUCACUGCAGGGGCUGAUGAUGCCUGCACCACC
rnacentral:ncRNA from 2 species